CCUACGGGAGGCAGCAGUGAGGAAUAUUGGUCAAUGAGCGGGAGCCUGAACCAGCCAAGCCGCGUGAGGGAAGAAGGUACAGCGUAUCGUAAACCUCUUUUGUCAGGGAACAAAGGCGGGGACUAGUCCCCGGAUGAGGGUACCUGAAGAAAAAGCAUCGGCUAACUCCGUGCCAGCAGCCGCGGUAAUACGGAGGAUUCGAGCGUUAUCCGGAUUUAUUGGGUUUAAAGGGUGCGCAGGCGGCCUGUUAAGUCAGCGGGAAAAGCCCGGGGCUCAACCCCGGCGAGCCGUGGAAACUGGCGGGCUGGAGUUGGAGAGAGGGACGCGGAAUGCGCGGUGUAGCGGUGAAAUGCUUAGAUAUCGCGCAGAACCCCGAUGGCGAAGGCAGCGUACCGGCUCCACACUGACGCUGAGGCACGAAAGCGUGGGUAUCGAACAGGAUUAGAUACCCCAGUAGUC
rnacentral:rRNA from 1 species